UUUAUAAGUAUCAGAUGUGUGGGCCCGUAUUUGACUAAGUUUUUAUGAUUCUCGAUUGAGACGCCCUAAUCCUUUCGCUUCCCUUCAAUCCGAUGAAAAUUCUGGGUAACGGAUUCGUUUUUUAAGUCCACCAUUAAAAUGAGCAUUUAACACCAUCACACCUCUCCUCUCACUCCGCCUCAUUUAUUUAUUCUAAUUGGCGAUGAAGGUAAGCGAUGCAUGUCUGAGUUCGGUACGACUUCAGACUAUAAAUGUCUCCGUUAGAUGCCAUGAACAGCUCCACCGCUAAGAUUUCUCAAAGAUUAUACUCUGCCAAGCAUCACCGCCCACUAUGUCGACUUCCUACGUUCUUCUCGCAAAUCUGAAAGCAGGUCGUUGCUCAAACACCGCCGAGGUCCGUUCUUGACGUUCUACAGAAGAAGAAACUUCGUGAUGACUUGAAGAGCGUGAGAAGAUAAACUUUUCUUCCAAAGAAAAAUCUCACUGUGAUGAAAGCUACUACAGGAGAGGGAAUCAGCUAUUACUCGAAGGCUCUAAAAGGGACUCUGAAGAUGAUUCUGAUGAGGAUGAUAGAUAUAAAGAAAGUGACGAUGAUGAGGAUGAGAUUGGAUCUCUUAUGGCUGAACUAAACCAGAUAAAUAAAUAAAGAGGCUCAGGAAGGAAAAGCAUCAGCAAAUGAAGAGCUAAACGCCAAAGAAGAGGAACUUCCCAAAGGAAACCCACUGCUUGACAACACUCCAACUGUGUUUAGUGUCAAAAGAAGGCUAGCAUCUUUUGAAGUGGGAUGAUGAUGUGGUAUCGAGAAUCAGGCACGUGUGGAAAUGAAAUUAAGCACCUAAGCGCUUCAUCAGAGGUCCUUGAGAUAAAAGGCAAACGAGGAAAGUAGGCUUUUUUAAUUAAAAUGUCUACCACCAGAAGCAAUCAAUCUGAUUGGACCGUAAGAAUCUUCAACCACAGACGGUAAUGUUUUUUUCAAAUACAUAUACUAACCAGCUAUAGCUUUACAUCAAUAAAUUCAGGACAGUGAUCGAAAUGUUGUCCCAGUUCAUACACAUGCAUUUGGUUUCUUUAAUCGGGCAUUGCAGUGAGAACAAUAAAAGGACCAUUGUGCAUGACUUGGAUCGCCCAAGGUUGAGCUGGAGACAGAAACUUGAGAUAUGUCUUGGUGCAGCUAGAGGCCUGCA